CAGUAGCCGCGGUAAUACGAAGGUCCCGAGCAUUGUUCGGAAUCACUGGGCGUAAAGGGAGCGUAGGCGGCGUGGUAAGUCAGAUGUGAAAUCCCGGGGCUCAACCCCGGAACUGCAUCCGAUACUGCCAUGCUAGAGGAUUGGAGAGGUAGCUGGAAUUCUUGGUGUAGCAGUGAAAUGCGUGGAGAUCAAGAGGAACACUCGUGGCGAAAGCGAGCUACUGGACAAUAACUGACGCUGAGGCUCGAAGGCCAGGGUAGCGAAAGGGAUUAGAUACCCCCGUAGUCCCUGUCUCUUAUAC
rnacentral:rRNA from 1 species